CCUGAGAAACCCAAAAGAUCGAAUGGGGAGAUUCAUCGUCAGCUCAUUUUCUAUAUGUAUGAGUUAUGAUGCGGGUUACUAUUUUAUAGUAUUGCCUGCACAUUCUUAUAUAUUUAGUUGCAAGAUGUUGUCGGCGUGCACUUCUCCCCUAGUAGGACGUCGCGACCCGUUGGAUGUCGGUCUACGGCUCAAUUUGAUAGCCUUUAAUGUUAUUUUGUAAUGAAAAAACAUUGAAGAUCAUUGAUGUUUUCUGACCGACUAUUCGGCGGUACUCGUACGGUAUUUAGCCGCAAAUAUAUAUACAUACUAUAUAUUAUAAAUGCGUCCAUACCUGUUGCAAGCGAGGCCAAUUUCAUAGUAGUACGGCCCUAGUGCCGUCGCUGGUAUUGGCCAGCUGUUGGUUAAACGGUGUUCUAGGACUGGCUAAAAUUUAAUUACCGGUCGGCGAUGCUACUGCUUUGGGUACUUUCAGGACCCGUCUUGAAACACGGACCAAGGAGUCUAACAUGUGCGCAAGUCAUUGGGAUUUUUUAAUAAUUAAACCUAAAGGCGUAAUGAAAGUGAAGGUCAUCUUUGCGUUGAUCGAGGGAGGAUGAGUUAUAUUAAGAUAUAAUUUCGCACUCCCGGGGCGUCUCAUUCRUAUU
rnacentral:rRNA from 1 species